UGUUUCUGAGCCCUACCUACCCG
rnacentral:piRNA from 1 species